CUGGGAAUUGCGCAGCUUGUGCUGAUGGCUCCUUGCAGCCCAGCUGGGGCGUUCCCACGCUGCGCAGCUGGCCAAGCAGGCCCAGGAGGAUUUGAAAAUCAACAGUGAACAUCUGUCCUAAGUCCUGUGUAUUCCAGGGGAAGGCCAGAGGAUUGGAGACCUGAACUCCAGGGUCCUUGGAGAGAAGGGCUGAGGAUCUGGACAGCUGGGUCUGAGAGAAGGCAUAAAAAAAUGGAGAGCUGAGUCCCAGGAGUAUAAAAAGAAGGAAAACAGCCAAGGUGGAGGAUAGAAGGUUUGUGCUAAUUAAAGGUCCCUACAACUGACAGCUCUACACCCUGGCCCCCAGGGACACCAUCUGGAGAUAAGCAGGCAGAAGGAGCUUACCCCAUGUGAGUAUGUAUGUGCACACCGGGGUGGGAGGCCAGGCCAGGCAGCAUAUGGUUAUAAAAUGCAGGGAUGUGAGGAUCAGGACUCAAAGCUAGAGAAACUAAUGAGAAAGAGGCACAGGCAGAGGCUGACAGAGAAAUAUUUAUUGAGCUCCUGGUGUGUGAGAAACAGAAUGUGGGGUAGCCAGAGUGAUCAAGAUGAGAACAGAGACACGUAGAGGCAUAGAGACAGUGACAUUGCUAAAGAUUUAAUGGGGGGGGGAGAUAUCUCAAAGGGAUGGAGAAAGAUAAAUCAAGAUGGAUAGAGAGACACACAGAGAAGGAAGGAAGAGAUAGAGAAGAUGGAAAUAGGGACAGAAGAUGGCCUUUGCCAAAGGACACCCACGCUGGCUGCUGGCAGACUUGAAUUCUGUUUUUUAUUCCCACCCCCUGAGUGCCUUGCACUCUGCACUCUCAUGCUGAAGAUGCUCUCACACACACUCACACUCCACAUGUAUUCCCAGAUCACACUGCACUCUCAUCCCCCAUGCUCACACACUCACAGGUACACUCACACCUGUAUGCCAUCAGAUAGCUUCACCUUCCUCCCACACACUCCCAGGUUCACACACACUCUCACACAUUUCUAAGCAAAGAUUCCUGAUGUUUCUGAGAGGCUGAUGGCUACUCAGGGAAGCAAGAGACUUGCCAAGGUCAUACAUCCAGGCAGGGAAGAGCUGGGCAGCCAUCCACCCACACAGCCCAGCUGUCUGCUCUCCAUGCUGAACUGUGAGAUAGUCCAGGUCUGACCUGCUCUCCCAGGCCCUCAGGGUCAAGGGGCUUGGGGAGGCACCAAAGAUAUGCCUGGCAUGUGCUGACAGGGGAUUUC
ensembl:lncRNA